rnacentral:lncRNA from 1 species
AGCAAAGUGACUCUUCCUACUCCAGCGCCAUCAGCUCCAAUAGCCCUACAGCUAUGGACAGGGCCCAUGAGUCCCAUUUCUUUCCAUGCUCUAGUGCUGAUGAACCUGAUCCUGUGCAGGUCUGUGCUGGCAACCGAAGGGCUGGGAGUCCUGAGUGCAAUGGCCCCGCCAUGCCCAGAAGAUAUUCUUUUGCAGCAGGGUCUCCCCACGUAGGGGCUUUACCUCUGCCCACUCUUCUGUGAUAUUCCCUGAGCCUUGGUGGGGAGGGGGUGUGAUUCAGGGUCGAACACUCCACAGUUGCUUGUACCCCAGACUGUUGGGUCUCUGCCGUCCACUGUGUAAAGGAGCUCCUUUGACGAGGGGUCAAGUUUGCAGCAGCAGCUGCCUCACGGCAGCUAUCUACAGGCAAGUGAUAGACUUAGUGGCUAUUUCCUCUGUUAUUUUACCUUCUUUCUUUGUCAUCUUUGCUUUGAAUAGCAAACAUAUAAAGCAAAUGGCAUGUGGGUCCA